UUUUGUAUUACAGCUAAUCAAAUCAUUUAUAAUGUAUGCUUUAUUAGUUCUUUUUGAAGUAAAAUUGGUAGUUUUGGAUAGUACAGAGGUGUUUUUACAAACAGUGCAGCGUUUACACUUGUGGAAUCCCUUUGCCCCGGCUAAGAAUGUGCAUGUUAGUUUCUUGCCUACUGUAUUGUCUCUAGUAUAAUUUUUCGUUAAAAUAGAUUUGAGGUUUGGGGCUCCUCUAAAAACAAUCUUAGGUCGCGUGGGUAUAACCUCUUUAAGAUUGUCAUCUUGUUUUAAUAAGUACCAAUGUUUAUUAAUU